GUGAGUCUGGGAACCUGGAAGGGACUGGCCAGAGCUGCCCAGGUGACCACAGGUGCCUGGAGGCAAGCCAGGCAUGCAGCCCGGGGUCUGCAUACCUGCUCCUGAGGGGCCUGAGCCCUCCCUGCCCCAGGGAGCCACGUCCUCACACCUGCACCUUUGGCCUGCACCCAGGGGACCAGUGAACGAGCGCAUGGCCUACCACGGCUGGCCGCCCUGCACCACCGGCUGGGCCAUGGCAAGCUGGUGGAGCACUUAUACCUCAAGGCCCUGUAGCUCUGCAACUCGCUGCUGGAGUUCGACGAGGAGACCGUCUAUUACGUGAACAUGUAUCUGGUGCUCGGUGACAUCAUCUUCUAUGACCUGAAGGACCCGUUUGAUGCAGCCGGGUACUACCAGCUGGCCCUGGCAGCCGCCAUGGACCUGGGCAACAAGAAGGGCACAGCUGAAGACCUACACGUGGCCGGCCACCAUCUCCCACAACUUCCUCCUGGACCGUGAGAAGUUUAUCCUCUUCUACCAGAAGGCCAGGACCUUCACCACAGAGCUCAACAUCCGCAGGGUCAACCUACCUCCUCUGCCACUCUGCGGGUGGGCCCCCUGGUUGGCCCUCAGCCACCCUCGCUGAGGACAGCAUCCAAGGGAAUGGGUUUUGUGCAAGGAGGAUGGUCUCCUGCCUCUCCUGGUGUCUCCGUGGCUCAUUUUCUGGGAAAUGGAGGCAUGAAAGCAGGGUUCAAAUAGCAAUAAUGUUUUUUU